CUGGCCCUGAAUCAAGGCCGGCAGCUUCCUGACGCUGUUGGUUUCAAGCAGGAGCCUAAAGAGAUGUCUUUCUAUGGUCUGCUGGCCAUUUCAGAACUUGAGCAGUAAAAUGGCCAAUUCAUUAGACAGAAACAGCU
ensembl:snoRNA